GAUGAACGCUAGCGGCAGGCCUAACACAUGCAAGUCGAGGGAGAGGUUACCUUCGGGUAACCAAAACCGGCGCACGGGUGCGUAACGCGUAUACAAUCUGCCUUUCACAUAGGGAUAGCCCGAAGAAAUUUGGAUUAAUACCUAAUGGUAUAUAAGAGCGGCAUCGUUUUUAUAUUAAAGCUACGGUGGUGAAAGAUGAGUAUGCGUUCUAUUAGCUAGUUGGAGAGGUAACGGCUCCCCAAGGCGACGAUAGAUAGGGGUUCUGAGAGGGAUGUCCCCCACACUGGUACUGAGAUACGGACCAGACUCCUACGGGAGGCAGCAGUGAGGAAUAUUGGACAAUGGUCGGAAGACUGAUCCAGCCAUGCCGUGUGCAGGAUGAAGGUCCUAUGGAUUGUAAACUGCUUUUGUAAGGGAAGAAUAAGGAGUACGUGUACUUUGAUGACGGUACCUUACGAAUAAGCAUCGGCUAACUCCGUG
rnacentral:rRNA from 1 species